UCCUAUGACCUUUCCUUGACCUUUCUGGCC
rnacentral:piRNA from 1 species